ACACCUCAACUCUCAUGGCUUGCCAUGAUGAGCUUGGACUUUGGGGGUCUUGCCGGCCUGUGGUCGGCUCCUCUCAAAUGAAUCAGCUUGCCAGUGUUUGGUGGCAUCACAAGUGUGAUAACUAUCUGCGCUCGUGGUUUCCAUCAGAUAACCUCCAGUGAUGGAGGUUCGCUGGAGCUCAUAAUUGUCUCUCCUAAGCGAGGACAGCUCUUUUAAU
rnacentral:misc_RNA from 1 species